UACGUAGGGUGCGAGCGUUGUCCGGAAUUAUUGGGCGUAAAGAGCUCGUAGGCGGUGUGUCGCGUCGGCCGUGAAAACCUGCAGCUUAACUGUGGGCUUGCGGUCGAUACGGGCAUCACUGGAGUUCGGCAGGGGAGACUGGAAUUCCUGGUGUAGCGGUGAAAUGCGCAGAUAUCAGGAGGAACAUCAGUGGCGAAGGCGGCUUCCUGGACCAAUACUGACGAUCAGGUGCGAAAGCGUGGGGAGCAAACAGG
rnacentral:rRNA from 1 species